GAUGAACGCUGGCGGCGUGCCUAAUACAUGCAAGUCGAGCGAACAGACGAGGAGCUUGCUCCUCUGACGUUAGCGGCGGACGGGUGAGUAACACGUGGAUAACCUACCUAUAAGACUGGGAUAACUUCGGGAAACCGGAGCUAAUACCGGAUAACAUGUUGAACCGCAUGGUUCAACAGUGAAAGACGGUCUUGCUGUCACUUAUAGAUGGAUCCGCGCCGCAUUAGCUAGUUGGUAAGGUAACGGCUUACCAAGGCAACGAUGCGUAGCCGACCCGAGAGGGUGAUCGGCCACACUGAAACUGAGACACGAUCCAGACUCCUACGGGCGGCAGCAGUAGGGAAUCUUCCGAACUGGGCGAAAGCCUGACGGAGCAACGCAGCGUGAGUGAAGAAGGUCUGCGGAUCGUAAAACUCUGUUAUUAGGGAAGAACAAAUGUGUAAGUAACUAUGCACGUCUGGACGGUACCUAAUCAGAAGGCCACGGCGAACUACGU
rnacentral:rRNA from 1 species